rfam:Pelodictyon phaeoclathratiforme BT-1, complete genome.
CAAGUUACUCACAUGAAAGGUAUAGCCAACCAUCAUGACCCCGAGUCAUGCCUCGAUAGCCAGCAAUGGAAUGGGGAAGCGUUGACAGGGGAAAACACAGGAGUCCUAUUGAGCUCCGAAAUCACCACAAUUUUCAGGCUGACCUCGUAGGAUGAGAGGGAAAGCAACAUCACCCAUACCGACAUGGCAAGGUGUGGUAGGCUGCGGCGUUGGUUUAUA